CUUAGUGGGAUUGAGACCCUAAUUCCUUAUAAAAGAUCUUGUGGUUGCACAACAAACCUUUUAUAAGUUUAAAGGUAGGAAACUCUUUCCAAUUGCAUCUCAUGCAAUUCUCAAUAAUAAGCCCUGGCCUCUAAAACAUUAAUAGCCUUGUGUUUACACAACAGACCAUAAUGUUUUAGUUAAGUAGGACCCUUCAUUUUAAUACAGUCAAAAUAGAAUAUAAAUGCUUUUGUGGUUACACAACAAAGCAUUAUACUCAAAAAUUGCUGUAAGCAUAUCAAUGUGCCAGAACAAUAUUAUGUCAGUUUCCAUAAUUGGUCUUGUGGUUACACAACAAACCUAAUAUGGUUCAUGACAUAGUAAUGUCAUAGCAUGAAGAAAGGCCAUAAUAUAGUGAAUAUAACACCGAGCAUCCCAGUCAAGAAUUAAAUUAAUCUAAUCAGCCAGGUAAGUGGAAGAGAGGUGGGGGUCCCCCCGUUGCUUUCCUUAAACACCAAUAAAUUUUGGCCAGGUCAGACAACGGAACCAAUUAGAAACCACAUUCUCUUUACCAAUCAGGAACCACUUUCCUAGACACCGAUUGAUCAAUUAGACAUCAUCGACUGGUUCUGCUAUUGGUUAAUUACACUA
rnacentral:lncRNA from 1 species